rnacentral:rRNA from 1 species
GCUUGUCUCAAAGAUUAAGCCAUGCAUGUUCAAGUAUAGCAAGUGUACAGUGAAACUGCGAAUGGCUCAUUAAAUCAGUUAUAAUUUAUUUGAUAGUGAAAUUGUACAUGGAUAACCGUGGCAAUUCUAGGGCUAAUACAUGCGUCAAUGGUCGGUCGACCAGUAUUUAUUAGAUACAAAGCCAAUGCGGGUUCUGCCCGGUUUUGUGGUGAAUCAUAGUAACUGUUCGAAUCGCAUGGCUUCACGCCGGCGAUAGUUCAUUCAAAUUUCUGCCCUAUCAGCUUUCGACGGUAGUGUAGUGGACUACCGUGGCGUUAACGGGUAACGGAGAAUUAGGGUUCGGUUCCGGAGAGGGAGCCUGAGAAACGGCUACCACAUCCAAGGAAGGCAGCAGG